GAUGAACGCUAGCGGCAGGCCUAACACAUGCAAGUCGAGGGGUAGUAUAGCAAUAUAUGAGACCGGCGCACGGGUGCGUAACGCGUAUGCAAUCUACCUUUUACAGAGGGAUAGCCCAGAGAAAUUUGGAUUAAUACCUCAUAGUGUUAUUGAGUGGCAUCACUUGAUUACUAAAGUCACAACGGUAAAAGAUGAGCAUG
rnacentral:rRNA from 1 species